rnacentral:tRNA from 1 species
GUCAGGAUGACCGAGUGGUCUAAGGUGCCAGACUUAAGGACUUGUCUUUCUGUUUGUUGGGUGUUCUGGUCUCCAAAUGGAGGCAUGGGUUCCAAUCCCACUCCUGGCA